GUGCAAACUCGAUCACUAGCUCUGCAUGAUGUUGCAGAAGUGAGGGGAACCAGGUUUGCUAAAGUAAUUGUGGUGGUAGAAAUGUAUUAGCCUCAGAAGGUACUUACUGAGCUGACUUAUUCUAUCCCAGUACAAUA
ensembl:snoRNA SNORA66 Small nucleolar RNA SNORA66